UUUGUAAAAGUAAUGCUAUGAAUAUUACUAUUUGACCUAGACACAUAGGUUAGAAUUGGAAACACAGGCUAUAAAGUAUAGUAAUUGUGUAAUUGUGAAAAUAUUAAGGCUUCAACUCAAAACUGAAACACAGUAGGGCUUAGAAAUCUUUGAAUUAUUUAUACCCCUCAGUUUAAAAACUUCCAGUCCAGGCGCAGUGGCUCAUGCCUGUAAUCCCAGAACUUUGGGAGGCCAAGGCAGGCGGAUCACCUGAGGUCAGGAGUUCGAGAGCAGCCUGGCUGACACGGUGAAACCCCGUCUCUACUAAGAAUACAAAAAUUAGCCAGGCAUGGUGGUGGGCACCUGUAAUCCCAGCUACGGGGGAGGCUGAGGCAGGAGAAUCACUUGAACCCGGGAGGUGGAGGUUGUAGUGGGCCAAGAUCAUGCCACUGCACUCCAGCCUGGGUGACAGGGCAAGACUCUGUCUAAAAAAAAAAAAGAAAAAACAAACAGAAAAAACAACUUGAGGAAAACAGCUACAGAAGAGUUAAUUUUCAUGAAUGUUUAUGAUAAUCGUGUUACAAAAUAUGACUUUUUAUGUCAUUUGAACAGGAGCAUACUCAUAGCUAUGUGAAAAUAUCUCGGCCUUUUUUAAUGAAGAGAUUAGAGAAUAUUGUGAGCAAGGCAUCUUCUGGUGGGCAGAGCAAUCCAGGUUCUUCAACUCCAGCCCCUGGUGCAGCCCAGCUCAGCAGCAGACUUUGCAAGGCCUUGUAUUCUUUUCAAGCCAGGCAAGAUGAUGAGUUGAAUUUGGAAAAGGGUGACAUUGUGAUUAUACACGAG
rnacentral:lncRNA from 10 species